ACGUACUGGAGAACAAAGUACAGAAAAGAGGCCCUUGAUGCUACUUAGAAAGAAUGCUUUAGCAUACAUAAAUCCUUUGCUUUAAUGUGACAUAAGAGGAAAUACUUGACAUGUUAAUCAUUUGUCACUUCUCUUUCUAAAUACCUGCACUGUUCAAGUCCUCCCUGAACUCCAAAACAGCGUCUGUUUGUGAUGGUGACCCCAUGGCACAAACCACAAAGCUUUCAGUAUUUGACAUAGUUGCCUCUUGUUUUUAUGUCAAAACCAACAGAUGAGAAGAACCAACUCCCUGAGACUGAAAUGCAAGAAUUUCUAAGACCUGGAAUAGAAUUCAAACGCUAGUUGUUUCUACUGCUACUGGGUUGGAAUGAUAUCUAGACUAACUCAGCUGACAAAGCGAAAAAAAAAAAAAAGCUAUUUUCUUUCUCAUGCAGGAAAAUGGCACAACUUCCUCCCCACCUUUUUGGCCUUGUGAGUGUCAUAUGCAACGUCAUUGGCAGCUGCUUACCAUGUAGUUAAUGGAGCAGAAAGACAGUGCAGCAAGACUACAGUGUUAUGGCACCCUUCUGUCUGCAGAUUACAAGAGUCUGGGCUCCAGGGAGGCAUUCUCUGCCAUAAUAAAAGUACCCGAGUCCCAGCCCACUCUGCAGGCCAUAUUCUCAAGCAUGCUUUUCCCUGUGAGAACUUCUUCUCAGGAACUACUCCCAUAUGUCAUUUCCAGUAUAAAGCAUCAGUGGUAAGUCUUUUAUUACUUUACUAAACUAUUCUCAUUUAGUCUGAUUAAGUGAGAACUUAAAAUUUUACCUUUGUUUUUCCAAAUUAAAAUAAC
rnacentral:lncRNA from 1 species